GUUUUGGAGUCAAGAGAAAGCAUAGACUGCACAGGGCCAAGCUUCCUCCCACUGCCCACUGAUGAGCAGAUUUGAGGGAGGCCCAGGGACUGUAGUGUGAGUAGUGAUAAGACAAAGUCACCCUCCACACUGUCACCCUCUAUAUUGUCACCCUCCAUGCUGUCGCCCUCCAGGAAGUCACCCUCCACACCAUCACAGGCACAUUCUCUUAAUCUUUUUUGGUGUUGUUUGUUUGUUUGUUUGUUUGUUUUUCAAGACAGGGUUUCUCUGUGUGGCCCUGGCUGUCUUGGAACUUGCUCUGCAAACCAGCGUGACCUUAAACUCAAGAGAUUCUCGGGUCUGCCUCAGCCUCCGGAGUUCUGGGAUUAAAGGUGCUGCACCACCACCACCUGGCACCUUAUAAUCUUUUAAGAACUGGACUCAGGAAAAAGAUGAGGUAUAACUGAAGGCUAUAACCGAGUGGUCUUCCUCCAUCUGCCACCAUACCAUCUCACCAAACUGCACGUACCAGCUGAAGUGUCGUGUGGGAAAUAUUUCAUGCUGAAACCAUAUCCAGGAUGCCAGCCUAUGGGAUGGUGCUGCCCACAAUUAGCGUGGGUCUCCCUACCUCAGCUAACCCAAUGGAGCAGCUCCCUCACGGACGUGUCCAGAGGUCUGUCUUCAAGGUGGCUUUAGACCUGCCAAGUUGACAGUAAAUACCAACCACCACACACAACAUUCACGUUCAUUCUUCGGUGGAACCUGCGCUUCUAAAGGGCCAGUGUUUCCACGGGGAUCCUACUCUGGGCUGAUUACCCAGAGACAUGGUGAGGAUGCUUCCCCAGGGCUGCAGGAAGAAGCCAUUGCUAAGGAAAUGAAGAGUCUUCAUUCUUUUCCCGAUGAUCAGUCGCAAUGGUGACAGGGAACACAGACAGGAAUUAAUGAGGCCGAGGUUAACAGGGGCCACACUUCCUGCUGUGCCGCUCUUAUGCCACACCUAGAAGGAGGCUUUAAUGUCAUUUAAUAUAGUAGGAAAUCAAAGCUAAGACAAUUUAAGACACUCCACAUCACAUUGCUAUCACAAUUUGGAGCUGGAAGUGAAACCCCGGUCCAACUACCCAUGCAGGACCAGAUUUAACUGCCGAGUUAAUAAAAAAUAAACACUCAUGAAUGCAAUUUGAGAUAAGGAGAUGAGAUGUGCAGCGGUGGCCUGUGCUCUAAUGAGGCUUCUGGUAAUUGCUUAGAAGUAACUACGGAUUGGAAAGAACUCAUUUCACUGCUAACCUGGAAUCACCGUCUGCACACAACUGGGCCAAGACGUCUUUGAUGAGAACCCAGGGCUCUGAAACACAUGUAAAACGAUUUUAAAUGGUCUUUUCGAUAUGCUUUUCAUUGUAUUUUAUGAAUUCAAUACGAACUUUUGUGUUUUGAAAGUAUCAUGCAUGUUUACAACUUCUUGUGAUCUUAUCUACCCCAAACACCACCUUACUAGGACCCACAAAGUUCUCUUUCUCUCUCAACUUCAUGCCAUCCUCUAAAAUUGUUGUUGCUGCUAAUAACUCCCUGGGUCCAAUUUGUGCUAAUUAUAUGCACGUGGGUAUGAGUCCAUGCACUGGUGGUGGGGGGUUGGGGUGGGCAACCUAACAGUGGGCCACAUCUCCAAGGAAAAGUGAUUCUCUCUCUUCCAGCAGCCAUCACCUUCUCAUAGCUCUACACCCAGGGGUGAGGCCUCAGGAUCCUCUUGCUUACCCUUGCUGGAGUUUUGAACGGCUGGAUGAAGUGCAGGUGACCCCAGCCAAGGUGAUUCUAAAUCUUGUCAAGCUGACAAGGAAGACUAACACCACACCCUCCGUUUGGGGACCCCUCUACAAUGAAGAUGCCACCAGGGAGGAGCUUAUAACAGACAUUUUUCACUUUGAUAAUAAAGCUUAAGGAGCAAUAAUGAAAA